CUGCAUUUAAUGGAGCCCCC
rnacentral:piRNA from 1 species